UACGUAGGGUGCGAGCGUUAAUCGGAAUUACUGGGCGUAAAGCGUGCGCAGGCGGCUUUGCAAGACAGAUGUGAAAUCCCCGGGCUCAACCUGGGAACUGCAGUUGUGACUGCAAGGCUAGAGUACGGCAGAGGGGGAUGGAAUUCCGCGUGUAGCAGUGAAAUGCGUAGAUAUGCGGAGGAACACCAAUGGCGAAGGCAAUCCCCUGGGCCUGUACUGACGCUCAUGCACGAAAGCGUGGGGAGCAAACAGG
rnacentral:rRNA from 1 species